rnacentral:rRNA from 1 species
CCGCGACCCCAGGUCAGGCGGGACUACCCGCUGAGUUA